rnacentral:lncRNA from 1 species
UACUCCUGGCUUCAUCUUUAUCCUAAAUAUCAUUUUUACGUUCCCUCCUUCUGCACAAAGCCAUGGGCUUUCCCGGGCGGUAUAGAGGAAGCCAUGGAAGGCAUUCACACUCCCCAAGGAUUAGUACAGAGACGAGGCUCACAGACUGAAGAAGGUACAAUAGCAUGGGGCUCCACUAGUGGGCAGACUGAAAGUGCAAACUACAAGACAGUCCUGAAGUUUGGGUCAACGUGCAAGUGAGUGAACAUCUGAGCAGCUUUCAGGCAAUUUACUGAACAGCUGCAGCAAAAGGUCUGUACAUAUGGUCUACAUUUCACUCACACACACAUCUCUGCUUGUGCUAAUGAGUGUGUGAUGAAUGAUAACACUGAUUUGAUAAUAGUCUGGCUGGGGAGGAGGAUCAGGGCGCAGUGUUUAGAGAAGCUUAAUUGAAUUAGAGUAAAUCAUAAAGAAGCUUUCUACAAAGAACACAUUAAAUAAAACCCCACUGGAUCUGUAAUGCCA